UUUCUUAGCUACUUGGAUUAUAAAUAACCAUAUGAUUGAAUUAUUGCUUGUAAGAUAGCUUAGUUUAGCAAUCAAUUGGCAUAUGCACUCUUACAGUUGUAUUUUUCUUGUAGCUAUGCCCAUUGUACCCACACAAUCAAGAGGUAUCACUGAAUGAAAUGAGAAGCCCUUCUGAAUUACUAGAAUUUGGGAAAUUCUCUAAUUGCAUGGAUUAUAGUACUGGAGUUGGGGCUUCUCCUCUUCAUGUUGCAAAUCCCGCAUUUGACUAUGUGCCUCCAGAGCUUGUUAGCCUUCUCAUCACUGAUGUAGGAGGGCAUAACCCGUCAUAUAUGUAUCGGCUAAUUGCUGAUUAUUAUUCCGCUGAUGAUUAUUUCUUGCAAGAGAAGCAUGAUUCUUGAAGGCACUUCAAGGAGGAGGAAAAUUAAAAAUUGGAAAAGCGGCUGUGGAGGUCAAACGUUGUGAAGAAACUGGUAUGUCUCGCCGAGAAUCAUACCGAAAAUCAAUCGUUUACGUUUCAAUUUCCGACCAGAUAAAAUAUCUUGAAGAAUACCUAUAGUACUCAUGUUUAAGUUAGUAGACAUGAGGGUA